rnacentral:rRNA from 1 species
AUUGAACGCUGGCGGCAUGCCUUACACAUGCAAGUCGAACGGUAACGGGUCCUUCGGGAUGCCGACGAGUGGCGAACGGGUGAGUAAUAUAUCGGAACGUGCCCAGUAGUGGGGGAUAACUGCUCGAAAGAGCAGCUAAUACCGCAUACGACCUGAGGGUGAAAGGGGGGGAUCGCAAGACCUCUCGCUAUUGGAGCGGCCGAUAUCAGAUUAGCUAGUUGGUGGGGUAAAGGCCUACCAAGGCAACGAUCUGUAGUUGGUCUGAGAGGACGACCAGCCACACUGGGACUGAGACACGGCCCAGACUCCUACGGAAGGCAGCAGUGGGGAAUUUUGGACAAUGGGCGCAAGCCUGAUCCAGCAAUGCCGCGUGCAGGAAGAAGGCCUUCGGGUUGUAAACUGCUUUUGUCAGGGAAGAAAUCUUCUGGGCUAAUACCCCGGGAGGAUGACGGUACCUGAAGAAUAAGCACCGGCUAACUACGUGCCAGCAGCCGCGGUAAUACGUAGGGUGCGAGCGUUAAUCGGAAUUACUGGGCGUAAAGCGUGCGCAGGCGGCUUUGCAAGACAGAUGUGAAAUCCCCGGGCUCAACCUGGGAACUGCAUUUGUGACUGCAAGGCUAGAGUACGGCAGAGGGGGAUGGAAUUCCGCGUGUAGCAGUGAAAUGCGUAGAUAUGCGGAGGAACACCAAUGGCGAAGGCAAUCCCCUGGGCCUGUACUGACGCUCAUGCACGAAAGCGUGGGGAGCAAACAGGAUUAGAUACCCUGGUAGUCCACGCCCUAAACGAUGUCAACUGGUUGUUGGACGGCUUGCUGUUCAGUAACGAAGCUAACGCGUGAAGUUGACCGCCUGGGGAGUACGGCCGCAAGGUUGAAACCCAAAGGAAUUGACGGGGACCCGCACAAGCGGUGGAUGAUGUGGUUUAAUUCGAUGCAACGCGAAAAACCUUACCUACCCUUGACAUGUCAAGAAUUCUGCAGAGAUGUGGAAGUGCUCGAAAGAGAACUUGAACACAGGUGCUGCAUGGCCGUCGUCAGCUCGUGUCGUGAGAUGUUGGGUUAAGUCCCGCAACGAGCGCAACCCUUGUCAUUAGUUGCUACGCAAGAGCACUCUAAUGAGACUGCCGGUGACAAACCGGAGGAAGGUGGGGAUGACGUCAGGUCCUCAUGGCCCUUAUGGGUAGGGCUACACACGUCAUACAAUGGCCGGUACAGAGGGCUGCCAACCCGCGAGGGGGAGCCAAUCCCAGAAAACCGGUCGUAGUCCGGAUCGUAGUCUGCAACUCGACUGCGUGAAGUCGGAAUCGCUAGUAAUCGCGGAUCAGCUUGCCGCGGUGAAUACGUUCCCGGGUCU